rnacentral:hammerhead_ribozyme from 1 species
AUCCAGCUAAUGAUUCUUAAACAAGACGAAACGCGCGUCCUGGAU